rnacentral:rRNA from 1 species
AUUUUGGGCAAUGGGGGAAACCCUGAUCCAGCCAUCCCGCGUGUAUGAUGAAGGCCUNNNGGCUGNACAGUACUUUUGGCAGANACGNAACGGUACCUCCUAAUACGAGGUACUGCUGACGGUAUCUGCAGAAUAAGCACCGGCUAACUACUUGCCAGCAACCGCGGUAAUACGUAGGGUGCAAGCGUUAAUCGGAAUUACUGGGCGUAAAGCGUGUGUAGGAGGUUCGGAAAGAAAGAUGUGAAAUCCCAGGGCUCAACCUUGGAACUGCAUUUUUAACUGCCGAGCUAGUGUAUGUCAGAGGGGGGUAGAAUUCCACGUGUAGCAGUGAAAUGCGUAGAUAUGUGGAGGAAUACCGAUGGCGAAGGCAGCCCCCUGGGAUAAUACUGACGCUCAGACACGAAAGCGUGGGGAGCAAACAG